UCUUAUGAAUGCGCAAAGAAAGUGGUUUCUUGAGCAGGGAUCUACUCCUGGUGAUUAUACUGUGAA
rnacentral:pre_miRNA from 1 species